rnacentral:rRNA from 1 species
CGGCAUGCCUAACACAUGCAAGUCGAACGGAGUUGAGAGAGCUUGCUUUUCAACUUAGUGGCGGACGGGUGAGUAACGCGUGAGUAACCUGCCUUUCUAGUGGGGAAUAAUAUUCUGAAAAGAGUACUAAUACCGCAUAACGUAUAAGAAACCGCAUGAUUUUUAUACCAAAGAUUUAUCGCUGAGAGAUGGACUCGCGUCCGAUUAGCCAGUUGGUGAGGUAACGGCUCACCAAAGCAACGAUCGGUAGCCGGACUGAGAGGUUGAACGGCCACAUUGGGACUGAGACACGGCCCAGACUCCUACGGGAGGCAGCAGUGGGGGAUAUUGUGCAAUGGGGGAAACCCUGACACAGCCAAUAGCCGCGUGAAGGAUGAAGGGUCUUCGGAUUGUAAACUUCUUUUGUCAAGGACGAUAAUGACGGUACUUGACGAAUAAGCUCCGGCUAACUACGUGCCAGCAGCUGC